UACAAAGGGGGCAAGCGUUGUUCGGAAUUACUGGGCGUAAAGGGCGCGUAGGUGGCCUUCUAAGUUGAACGUGAAAUCCCUGGGCUCAACCCAGGAACUGCGUCCAAGACUGGGAGGCUUGAAUCCGGGAGAGGGAUGCGGAAUUCCAGGUGUAGCGGUGAAAUGCGUAGAUAUCUGGAGGAACACCGGUGGCGAAGGCGGCAUCCUGGACCGGUAUUGACACUGAGGCGCGAAAGCGUGGGGAGCAAACGGG
rnacentral:rRNA from 1 species